rnacentral:rRNA from 1 species
AGAGUUUGAUCCUGGCUCAGGAUUAACGCUGGUGGCGUGCUUAACACAUGCAAGUCGAACGAAUCUUGAAAAUGAAGCUUCGGUGGAUUUUUCUUCUGAUUAGUGGCAAACGGGUGAGUAAUAAAUAAGUAACCUGCCUUAAAGCCUGGAAUAACUUUUCGAAAGGGAAGCUAAUACCGGAUAUACUUUUUAAUUCAUAAGAGUUUUAAAGGAAAGAUUUAUCACUUUAAGAGGGGCUUAUUUCUGAUUAGCUUGUUGGUGAGGUAAAAGCUUACCAAGGCUACGAUCAGUAGCUGGUCUGAGAGGACGAACAGCCACACUGGAACUGAGACACGGUCCAGACUCCUACGGGAGGCAGCAGUGAGGAAUAUUGCGCAAUGGGCGAAAGCCUGACGCAGCGACGCCACGUGAGCGAUGAAGUCUCUAGGGAUGUAAAGCUCUGUCAAGAGGAACGAUUAUGACGGUACCUCUAAAGGAAGCCCCGGCUAACUACGUGCCAGCAGCCGCGGUAAUACGUAGGGGGCAAGCGUUAUCCGGAUUUAUUGGGCAUAAAGAGCGCGUAGGCGGUACUUUAAGUCAGAUGUUAAAAGCUUCAGCUCAACUGAAGUUCGCAUUUGAAACUGAGGUACUAGAGUUUAGUAGAGGAAAGCGGAACUCACGGUGUAGCGGUGAAAUGCGUAGAUAUCGUGAGGAACACCAGUUGCGAAGGCGGCUUUCUGGACUAAUACUGACGCUGAGGUGCGAAAGCGUGGGGAGCGAACGGGAUUAGAUACCCCGGUAGUCCACGCCGUAAACGUUGUUCACUAGGUGUUGGAGGUAUCGACCCCUUCAGUGCCACAGAUAAUUCGUUAAGUGAACCGCCUGGGAAGUACGACCGCAAGGUUAAAACUCAAAGGAAUUGACGGGGGCCCGCACAAGCGGUGGAGCAUGUGGUUUAAUUCGACGAUACGCGAAGAACCUUACCAGGACUUGACAUCCGUAGAAUUUUCUAGAGAUAGAAAAGUGCUCGCAAGAGAACUACGUGACAGGUGGUGCAUGGCUGUCGUCAGCUCGUGUCGUGA